GAGGCUAGUUUAGCAGGGUUAUUUGAUGAAUUAUCAGGUAUUGCCUGGGAUAUUACUGGCCUUAGGUUAUAAGAACUGGUGAGAAGGGAGACGUUAAAGAAUUAUAGACCCAUUAGCUUGCUUUCAGUAUUGUAUAAAAUAUUCACCAAGAUAAUUUUGAAUAGAAUCAGGGCAACACUUGACUUCAGCCAACCAAGAGAACAAGCUGGCUUCAGGAAGGGAUAUUCUACGAUAGAUCAUAUCCAUGUCAUCAAUCAGGUAAUAGAGAAAUCUGCAGAGUGCAAUGAACCUCUCUAUAUGGCUUUCAUAGAUUAUGAAAAAGCAUUUGAUUUAGCAGAGAUACCAGCAGUCAUAGAGGCACUGCAAAAUCAAGAAAUAUAGGAGGCAUACGUGAAUAUCUUGGAAAAUAUCUACAAGGAUUGCACAGCAACCUUGGUUCUCCACAAGAAAAAUAGAAAAUUACCUAUCAAGAAAGGGGUCAGGCAAGGAGACACAAUCUCUCCAAUGCUAUUCACUGCAUGCUUAGAAGUAUUCAAGCUCUUAGACUGGGAAGUCGUAGAAGUGAGGAUCAACAGCGAAUAUCUCAGCAACCUUUGGUUUGCAGAUGACAUUGUCCUAUUCAGCUACAAUGGGGACAUAUUACAGCAAAUUAUUGAGGAUCUUAACUGAGAAAGUGUAAGCAUGGGGUUGAAGAUUAAUAUGCGGAAGACAUAAUGUUCAAUAGCCUGGCAAGGGAACAAGAAUUCAGGAUCGCCAGUCAGCCUCUUGAGUCUGUAAAGGAGUAAGGUUAUCUAGGUCAAUUACUCACAGGGGACCCUGAUCAUGAGAAAGAAAUUUAUUGAAGAAUAAAAUUGGGUUGGAGUGCAUACGGCAAGCAUUGCCAAAUCCUGACUGUGAGAGUACUACUGUCGUUGAAAAGAAAAGUGUACAAUCAUCACUUUCUACCGGUGCUAACAUAUGGGGCAGAAACUUGGAGGUUAACAAAGAAGCUCGAGAACAAGUUAAAGACCGCAAAAAGAGCGAUGGAACGAAAAAUUUUAGGCCUAACAUUAAAAGACAGGAAGAGAGCGGUCCCAGUCCAAAAAUCCCUCAGAGCGAUCUUGUUGGACAUACAGAGUUCUUGAGGGUCCUUCAAGAAAUCUUGUGGGCGCCCUUCCGAUUCUUGAAGGUCCUUCAAACCUUCUAUAGGCGACCCACCUACAGCAAUAAGAUUCUUGUGGGUCCCUCAGGACGCUCUAUGGGCAUGCUUCCCACACCAAUGAGAUUCUUGUAGGUCCCUCAAACCUUCUAUAGGCGACCCGCCAACAGUAGUAAGAUUCUUGAAUAUCUCUCAGGACGCUCUGUGGGUACGCUUCCCACAUCAAUAAGAUUCUUGAAGGCCCCUCAAACCUCCCAUAGGCGACCUUCCCACAGAAAUAUGGUUCCAACAUACCCUUCAAACAGCAAUACGAUUGCGGGUCCUAUGGCAGAAUUAGUAUAGGUGCUUUAUACUGAGGAUAACUUUUGGGCUUCUUAAAACAAACUAGUCAGCAGAUCACUUAAUUUUGUCAUAUUAGGCCAACAACAACGUGACCGACGACCGCGAGUCGUCACAGUGUGCGGGCUUUUUCGAAGUACCGUAUGUUCAUAACGCCGACGAAACUGCCGAUCGACUGCGAUAUGAACCGUUCAGCGACUAUCGCGAUUUCCACAACGCCUCCGUGUGUACUUAUACUUUCUCAUGCUCCAAAAAAAUCGGACCAUUCUUCCGAAGUUGGAAUGCACAAACUUCAAUGAGCCCUUUUUACGUUCAGCAGAGGAUAUGUAUAGCGCAGCCAACGAGUUCGUACAUGCACCCCACCUGCGGAUCUGAACUCACAACUGCUUUUAUAAUUCAGUUUUGGUCACAGCGAUUUGAAAUCGACCACUUGUCCCUUUGCACAGUGCAUAUACACAAGAAGCGGGAAGCGAAGGCUGCCGGUACGUUGCACUUGAUCGCCGCAGCGCUUCGCUGAAUGAAAUAUGGCUAUGUAGACGGGUACAUUUGUACGCAAUGUUAUGCUGACACACUUAGCUUUUCAGAUGCACUGGCUGUUUUUUUUUAUUAUACGCCAAACAGUCAGCAAGCGUCGACCAUUUGACACAGCAGCCUCGCUCGGCCAAAAUGAGUGCGCUAGUGAAAACCGCCUCGAUCUGAAUGUGCGAUUUCGACUCGAUGGAGCACUUCUGCGACGCAGAUCUCGAGUUAUUGUAGAUUGCAUUGUUUUGAUAUUUUGUCUUACGUCAUCACGUAAGAAACUGACGUGAACGGCCUUGUUUUAUUCACGCAUAUACUUGCAGUUUCCGAUUGCCUAACGCUGCUGAUGUGAAGCUUCGUUGACAAUUUCAGCAGGCGCCAAAUGCGCGAGGUAGCCGCGCCAUUCCAUGGGCGGCUACCUGCUUUUCUCGUGGCUAGAAUGGAGGUCGUGGUGGGUGCCGCCAAGCUUGCACAAGAACAGGCUAUAUAAUAUAAUUUGCAUCACUUUGUAAUGUGUAAUCUUUGUAAUUCCAGCUAGUCCAGCUUGCUGCAACACUCUUACUGUGCGGCAUCUCCGAUUUAGAGAACUAAAUUGAGUAAAUCCACCGUAUAAAUGGAAAAUAUAAAGUGGUAUGACUUACAGUGGUGUACGAUUACUGCUUUUAAAAUAAUGCGCUUUUUGGUGUUUUCGGUUACGUUGCUACAGAUGAACAACCACUAGGGGCGCAAUUGUAAUGAUUCGGAUUUCAUCGCUCCUCUGAAGUCGUAUCCAUAGCUCGACGUUGUGUGUUUUUUCCUUCCUCCAUACGUGUUGGCCUGCGCAUUGUCCGAAUUUGUCCGAAUUGCCCUGCUAAGCAGGUGCUUUUAUAAAACCAAAGCGUCGCGAUCUGGUAGUGUGCUUCUGCAGACAGAAUGCUGGUGCUUGUACAGUACGAGGUAGACUCGACAACGGAGGUUGUUCAACCCAGUGCGAUUCGAGGAUUUCAUUGGUCAAGCGUUGCCGACUUUGACGGCACGAAAUACUAUGAGGUAUGGUGGCACGGCGACGACAGUGUCUCCAGGUGGCUAUUAAGAAGCCAAGGUGCUCCACAUGACAGGUAAGCUACUGCACAAACCUUACGGUGUUGAUGUAUCAUCGUCAUAUUGGGUUGCCGAGAAAGUUAAAUAAAAGAAAACAUCAAGUGCCACUGGGGUUUUCAGUGGCACCCAAUUUCGCAAUUGGAGAUCACUGCAGGUCCAAGUUCUUACAAUUAGACAUCAUUGGGGUUUAAAAUGCCAAUUUGAAGUCAUUAGAUAAGCAAUCGCAUGAAACAACAAAAUUUGAUAAUCGUGAAAAAACAAUUACAAUGCGAGCCUUCAAAUUUGGAGAGAAGCAUUUAGCUAUUUUGUGAAGUUAAAAAUCUACCUUGAAACGUUACCAAUUUCUUUGAACCACUGGCAUAACUCGGUCAACAGAAUUAGCUUAGAUAUAUAGCACCUGACAUAGUGGAUAUAUCAUUGAAGAGAAUUUUCAUUGUGUGUUCGUGCAUUACUAAGCUUCUUGAGUGGAGUUCUAGGGCUUUUUCUUUUCCAUAUUGAUCUCAACGAGUCCAGCUAGAGAUCAAUUUGUUGACCCAAUAAAUACAAUUGUGUUAAAAAACUAAACAGCGGGCCAAUUUCAAAUCAUAAUAGUUAAUGUUUGACUGGGAAAAAUGGUACAAAUGUCUAUGCACGGGCACUGAGAGUGCGAAUGUUGAUGAGGUGCUCUGAGAGCAACUGUUGUGAUUUACAGAAAUACAUUUACAAUCUUGGUGCUUCCACUGAAGUGAAAAAAAAAGAAAAAAAAAACCAAAAGCUUAGUUGAGGACAAGUUGACACCUCGCAUAAUUUGGUGGUCUUUUAUUUAAAGUUGGUAUGGCAUUACACCAAUCUGUCUUAUACCCUCUUUACAAGGGCACUCUCAGCUCAAUGGCAGUUGAUGUCAAUGGCAGUUUACCGAAUUUACACGGGAACUCCAACUGUAAUUGACAUCUCAGCGAUCGUUGGCCUCAACGGAGGUCGAGGGUCUCAGUUGACAGUCCCCGAACGGAGCAGUUGACAGUCCCCAAACGGAGAUGGGAAGAUGGCAGCCUCCGUGGAUGAAAACGUGCCACCCGCAGCUGCCGAUGCUGCGAAGCGUUUCGUGUGGACAAGGUCCAUGACGGACAUGUUGCUACACGUGUCUUGCCAACUAAAAAAUCUAACGACUCUGACUAGAUCGUCUUAGAUUCACAUUAAAAUGUUUUCCACUAGGUAUGUUUUGCAGUCAAAGAGAAAUGUUACAGCGCAAUAAUAAAUAAAACAGAUUUUGAAGAUAACCAUGCAAAAGUAUAGCAAGGAAAUAUGCAAUAAUUUAUCGCAUAUUAUUCUCGAUUCAGCGCGCUCACGUGAUAGCAAAAUUUAACCCGAAAGUCCGUGUAAGCACAGUUAACAGUCAUUCACUUCAAUGUCACUUUGAAAGUUCAACUGUCGUUGAUUUCAAUUGUCGUUCAGGGUGACUGUGUAAAAAGGGUAUUCCACACAUGCUCAAUUCUAGUCAUGUUAAUUUUCUCGUGGGUAGUUUUUGCUGGUAAAAAUUUAAUUGCCUGCAAAUCUUGCCAUUGUAUAUAAUUACAAUGCUUGUCAAUAGUUCUUGUCAAGGUCAGACAUAACAAGAAUAGUGAAAACUUAAGUGCAGGUUUUAUUGUAAUGUUACAUUUGUGUUGCAAGAUGCUAAAAAGAAAAACAGUUGUAACCUAUACUGUCAGUGUUGUGUAUGCGUUGUGCAAUAUUAUUUCAUGCCUGCUCAAACGCCACUGCUUUCUGGUGCUGUGCAGAAACGUUGGAGCAAAUGGAUAUGUUCCAAAGCAAGAGGCCUAGGAAAACAAUGAACCUCAAUAAAGUGAAAGGGAAGAAGAGGACGAAAGGGAAGGCCGCACCAUCAACAAAGCAGCUUCGCCUUGAUACACAAGGAACGAUUGAGGCAGCCCUGGCUGCCCAUAUUGAACAGGAGAGCCCUUCCAGCUGCAUGUGUUGCAGCGAUGGCUGCGACAUAAAGGCUGAGCUUGAAAAAACAAAAGCAGCAAAUGCUGAGCUCAAAAAGGAGCUGCAAGACCAGAACGCAAGCUUUCUCAAGAAAAUUGAGAAGUUGAAGAACAAAUUAAGUGAAGCUCAGUAUGUUAAUUCAGUGCUUCAGAAUGCAGUUGCCUCCAAGAUUUUUGAGAGUGAGACCAAGAUGAUUUACGCGAGAUCGCUGGAUGUGGUGGUGGGGGCAGAAGCUCCUGUACCCUCACGGAGAUCAAGGCUGGAAGCAAAAGGCAAGCUACAUAUGUGGUUCAUUUUCCAAGUUUAGUUUUUGUCUUCAUCUUACUACUAUUGCAGCAAUUUUUUUUACUUCAUUAGCAAAAGCCAGGCACCUGCAUUUAAUGUCUACAGUUAAAUUUUGACCAUUAGAUAUAUUGACAAAAAUGAUGCAUGUAUUGUUCAAUUCUGGGAUGAAAACAUUGCAAACAUUUUAAAUAAACUUUAUAUUGUGCAUUGCAGCUAUUCACGCAUGGGAUAGAGCCUCCUGAAAUACAUGUCAAACCAGUCAUCCUAGAGAAUGUAUAUGCAGUUAGCUGCUGCCAGUUCACUAUACAGGGCUCGUGUUAGCUUGUGGCAGGGCCAGUGUAGUCACAAGCUAGUUAUGUUCUUUCUGCAUUUUAUAAUUAAGAAUUCGGGGCCCCAGAAUUAUGCUGUAGAGUUAGUUCUAUUAUGCUAGGGUCUACAACAUGUCCCGAAUUGGAAUUUGCUCUUUGUCCUUUUGAGAACCAAAAUGCAAUUGAUAUGUCAUGUUACUUGCAAGGUACUACAUUUACAUGUCUGUUUACUUGAUAUCAUGUUGAAGGUAGCAGAAACACUGUUGUCGGCACAUUAUCAUUGCAGACUCGGGUCUGCACUCUCACAGCAGGCCAUAUACUGGGCCAACAAGCAGGCCAUCACAGCUUGUGGGUGAGAAAAUAUUUUGUCCACAUAUGGAAUUUUAAAUUUUCUAGCACACUCAGAUUAAUUUUACUUUUAUGGAUGUAUGAAUGCUAGUAUACUUCAUCUACAUCGGAAUAACUUAUUGUUUGUAUGGUCUUCAGGAACCACUGCAGCUGUGGCUUCAGUUGAUGCUGUGGAGGAGUGUGUGGCACAUCAGCUUGAACCUAGCAACAGGCCAUCUGGCGCCAAUGAGUCGGAUGCGGCGCAACCCCCAGGAUCCAUUACUGCUGCUACGGCCUCUACCAGCACCGCAGGGUCCACAUCAGACCAGCUUGUGCUUGGGGUACUGCUAUGUAGCAGCAGUGAACAGAUGGUCCCAGAUGAGCUUGAACCCUGGACCUCACAGGAGCUGGAGGACGCUCUCAUGAGUGAACAGCCAGAGGGCCUCCAGACAGUGAUUGGCAGCGAAAGAGACGAUGGAAAGGUAAUUUCAUAAUGCCUUGGGUGCUGCUUUUUUUUUCAUGGAAAGAAAACUUAUGUUCCAUGAAAACCUUACUUUGUAACUUGUGUGUUAGGCCGUGCAGCCUGGUAUUUAAAGGUACGCUUAGAUCAUUGAAAGCAUUGCAUUGCAGUCAUCUCUUGUGUCAGCUCACUUGGCAAAACAACAGUGCUGGUGAUUGUAUAAUUUUUGUAGUAGUAGCUGCUGAGCAGCACCUAAGCAGGUGACACAUGCACCUGGAGGUUGACGGCUAUGACAUAAGCCCUUGCACAGGUCCUUCGAGAUAUUUCACAACAUUGCGGGCGCUGCCUAAUCUCGGGGUCAUGCCAGGCACGCGGUAAUGGCGGCAUUUUCAGUUUUAGUAUAAAAGAAAAAUAUGGUUAAACUCUCUUUCAUAGGAAUCGGUAGAACACGAAAGUGAAGUGUGUCUUCACAGAAGCUGUUGCAUGUUUGCUUUGUGAACUCGCGGUCCACUGCAGCGAAAGGCGAACGAUUUGAGGUCGGCUACCAUGUUGCAGGUUCGCUUGGCGCACUGCAUCCUGCUGCCGAGUCGCUUUGACGAAGGUACAAGCAUUUCGGUCUGGCUUCGUGGUGUCUUGGGCAGCCACUUGAGUUGCGUUGUGCUGAGCUUCAGGAAUGCAAGUGGCAGAGCUCGCAGCGUGCGCUGUGAACGUGCAAAGGCAUUCUGCUUUACGUUGGAGUGUCCCUCGCGAGAUUCCCCCGUCGACGUUGUUGCCUUUCUCGACACUUAGUGCAGCAGUUUUCCUAGUUGGUGCCAUCGUCGCAACUCAACUGGCGGCCCAGGACAAUAGGGAACUACACCAAAAUGCUCGUACCUUUGCCCAAACAACUAAGCAGCAGGGGGAAGUCGCGCUUCCAAGCAAACCUGAAACACGGUUGCCAACCCGCAAAUCGCGCGCCUUUCGCUAUAGCGGACCUUGAGUUCACAAAGCAAACAUGCAACAGCUUCUGUGAAGACACAUUUCACUUUAGUGUUCUACCGAUUCAGUUUCGCUUGUACGGUUUGCGAACGCCUGUGGUUUAUGAUGAACGUGUGCAGUGCUCCAGCGCGUGCAAUGCAGCGCCUUCGGGGAAUGUUUCCUGAUCGGGAGUCUCAUUCCACAACUUAAUCUUGUCUGGAAAUUGUCAAGGAUCCUCGCGCAACCCGCCGUGGUUGAUUAGUGGCUGUGGUGUUGGGUGCCAAGCACGAGAUCGUGGGAUCGAAUCGUGGCCAUGGCAGCCACAUUUCGAUGAGAGCGAAAACACCUGUGUACUUAGAUUUAGGUGCACAUUAAAGAACCCCAGGUGGCUCAAAUUAUUUCGGAGUCCCCCGAUACGGCGUGCCUCAUAAUCAGAUCGUGGUUUUGGCCCGUAAAACCCCAUAAUUAUUUGAUCACUAUGCAUUGGUAGGGUGCCGCUGAUGGCUACUUGCAACCUAAUUGUUGACGUACAGUAAACAUGGAACAGCUUCUGUGAAGACAUGCUUCACUUUAGUGUUCUACCGAUUCCUAUGAGAGACGGAUCAACCAUAUCUUUUGGUUAGCAUUUCUUUUCACUUGUAUUUCAAAUGUCAAAUUUUGCCUGGCUAUGCUCUUUUAAGCUAGGCUUUUUACACAGUCAAAUUUUUAUUUUGUGCUGUGCCUGAAAGUCAUGCAGGGAAUUGUUUAUAACAAUUAAUUUUUGUGCUAUUUCAUCAGUGGGCUCACGUUUAAGAAAGUGCAGAAGAGGGAAAUGUCAAAACUCUCAUAUGCAGGAUGUAAUAUCCACCGGCACAGGCAAAUGCAGCUCAUGCUGUGUCAGUGUAUUCUAGAUGGAGGCCAUUGUACGUGUAGAAAUAUAAUGCCUAAUGCAAUUCUUCAUAUUACAGAUCUAUGCAGGGAGCAAUCAGUGGCUCGAAAAGGAGGCCUGGGGGGCAUAUUGUUUCGGGCCUCAACCGAUUCUUUUGUCACAUGGCAACGUCUGUGUAUUGGACGCCUGAUCAACUGAGGAGCUGCAGCGUGACGGGAACCCUGUCAAAUAAGUCCCGGGCAAAGGGGGUGACUGAGCCAAGGCCCGCUUUCACCCCCGAAAAGGUGGCCUCACUGAAAGCUCUCUUCGGUAUAUUCAUGGGCUGCAAUGUCCCUGAAGAAGAGCAAAAGAAAAGGCUGAAGAUGUGCGAAAGUAUCUCGCACAGAAGCUGGGCGACGUGCGAAGGAAGUGAAGAUGUUUGUGCCAAAAACUUUGUGUCGAUUGUUUUACUUGGUGUAAAUAAAAAUAUGUUACAGUUUCACCCGAAAGGCAAAGCAUCAUUUGCGAUCGCAAAUUAAUAGAGAGCUAUACGGAGUGAGGAUUACAAUUUUAUCAGUUGUAUAAACUUGGACAUGUAGCAGUACCAGCAACGCGCAGAACUGUUGAUGCCGUAGGUGUUUUGCCCGCGUUCGCACCGAACGCGUGCGGCGUUGGUGACUGUUACCGGUGCCUCUGGUGGCAGCUCGGAGGUUUUCGACGAGAUCAGAACAGGAUACUCAUCGAGCAGCAUCAGAAGUCUUUACCACCUUCUUACCUCGCAACGUUUUUAUAUGAAUACGCGUUUGGUGCCGCAGCUAAACGUCGUCUCCCCUCC